rnacentral:sRNA from 1 species
GGAUGGAUCACCUCCUUUCUAAGGAAACAAUUAUCAUCUUCAGUUUUGAGAGACUUAAGAAAGUUUUUCAUUAUAACUAACUUACUUGCAAAUUGUAUUUACAAUAUUUUAAUCUUUUUAAUAUUAAGGGCCUAUAGAUCAGUUGGUUAUAGAGUACACACCUAAUAAUUGUGAGGUCGGUGGUUCAAGUUACACAUUUAGGCCCACCAUAACCACAAAUAGGCAAAAUAUUAAAAAAAGCUCUUUGAAAAGUAGAUAAACGAAGGUUAAAAAAUCAAAGGAACUAAGGGCGCACAGUGGAUGCCUUGGCACUAAGAGCCGAUGAAGGACGCAAUUAACGGCGAAACGCCACGGGAAGCUGUAAAUAAGUGAAGAUCCGUGGAUCUCCGAAUGGGAAAACCCAUUACAUUGAAGAUGUAAUAUUCUUCUAAUACGAUUUAUCUUUUUAGAAGAAGGGAAACGCGGCGAACUGAAAUAUCUAAGUAACCGCAGGAAAAGAAAGUAAUAACGAUUCUGGUAGUAGUGACGAGCGAACCCGGAACAGCCUAAUACCAUUUCUAGUUACAAAAUUUUAACAAAGUAGAAGCUUUUGGAAAGAAGCACCAAAGAAGGUGACAGUCCCGUAAACGUAAGUUAAAAUCUAGGGUAUUAAUAAGUACGGCGAGACACGAGAAAUCUUGUCGGAAGAUGGGAGGACCAUCUCCUAAGGCUAAAUACUUCUUAGUGACCGAUAGUGAACUAGUACCGUGAGGGAAAGGCGAA